rnacentral:rRNA from 1 species
CAUUGGGACUGAGAUACGGCCCAGACUCCUACGGGAGGCAGCAGUGGGGAAUAUUGGGCAAUGGGGGAAACCCUGACCCAGCAACGCCGCGUGAAGGAAGAAGGCCUUCGGGUUGUAAACUUCUUUUACCAGGGACGAAGGACGUGACGGUACCUGGAGAAAAAGCAACGGCUAACUACGUGCCAGCAGCCGCGGUAAUACGUAGGUUGCAAGCGUUGUCCGGAUUUACUGGGUGUAAAGGGCGUGUAGGCGGAGAUGCAAGUUGGGAGUGAAAUCCAUGGGCUCAACCCAUGAACUGCUCUCAAAACUGUAUCCCUUGAGUAUCGGAGAGGCAAGCGGAAUUCCUAGUGUAGCGGUGAAAUGCGUAGAUAUUAGGAGGAACACCAGUGGCGAAGGCGGCUUGCUGGACGACAACUGACGCUGAGGCGCGAAAGCGUGGGGAGCAAACAGGAUUAGAUACCCUGGUAGUCCACGCUGUAAACGAUGAAUACUAGGUGUGGGAGGACUGACCCCUUCCGUGCCGCAGUUAACACAAUAAGUAUUCCACCUGGGGAGUACGACCGCAAGGUUGAAACUCAAAGGAAUUGACGGGGGCCCGCACAAGCAGUGGAUUAUGUGGUUUAAUUCGACGCAACGCGAAGAACCUUACCAGGAUUUGACAUCCAACUAACGAAGCAGAGAUGCAUUAGGUGCCCUUCGGGGAAAGUUGAGACAGGUGGUGCAUGGUUGUCGUCAGCUCGUGUCGUGAGAUGUUGGGUUAAGUCCCGCAACGAGCGCAACCCCUAUUGUUAGUUGCUACGUAAGAGCACUCUAGCGAGACUGCCGUUGACAAAACGGAGGAAGGCGGGGACGACGUCAAAUCAUCAUGCCCCUUAUGUCCUGGGCUACACACGUAAUACAAUGGCGGUCAACAG